AAGAUUGCGGUGAUGAGGCAAUUUGUGGACUAGAGUUUCUGAUAUGUGUCUUACCCAGAAGUUGAUUACGGAACCCUUGGCGGCCUGAGCACACUU
rnacentral:snoRNA from 1 species